GUGGGGAAUCUUGCGCAAUGGGCGAAAGCCUGACGCAGCGACGCCGCGUGGGGGAUGACGGCCUUCGGGUUGUAAACCUCUUUUACCACUCACGCAGGCCCCGGGUUCUCCCGGGGUUGACGGUAGGUGGGGAAUAAGGACCGGCUAACUACGUGCCAGCAGCCGCGGUAAUACGUAGGGUCCGAGCGUUGUCCGGAAUUAUUGGGCGUAAAGAGCUCGUAGGCGGUGUGUCGCGUCUGCUGUGAAAGACCGGGGCUUAACCCCGGUUUUGCAGUGGAUACGGGCAUGCUAGAGGUAGGUAGGGGAGACUGGAAUUCCUGGUGUAGCGGUGAAAUGCGCAGAUAUCAGGAGGAACACCGGUGGCGAAGGCGGGUCUCUGGGCCUUACCUGACGCUGAGGAGCGAAAGCGUGGGGAGCGAACAGGAUUAGAAACCCUUGUAGUCC
rnacentral:rRNA from 1 species